rnacentral:rRNA from 1 species
AGAGUUUGAUCCUGGCUCAGAUUGAACGCUGGCGGCAGGCCUAACACAUGCAAGUCGAGCGGUAGCACAGAGAGCUUGCUCUCGGGUGACGAGCGGCGGACGGGUGAGUAAUGUCUGGGAAACUGCCUGAUGGAGGGGGAUAACUACUGGAAACGGUAGCUAAUACCGCAUAACGUCGCAAGACCAAAGAGGGGGACCUUCGGGCCUCUUGCCAUCAGAUGUGCCCAGAUGGGAUUAGCUAGUAGGUGGGGUAACGGCUCACCUAGGCGACGAUCCCUAGCUGGUCUGAGAGGAUGACCAGCCACACUGGAACUGAGACACGGUCCAGACUCCUACGGGAGGCAGCAGUGGGGAAUAUUGCACAAUGGGCGCAAGCCUGAUGCAGCCAUGCCGCGUGUAUGAAGAAGGCCUUCGGGUUGUAAAGUACUUUCAGCGGGGAGGAAGGUGUUGAGGUUAAUAACCUCAGCAAUUGACGUUACCCGCAGAAGAAGCACCGGCUAACUCCGUGCCAGCAGCCGCGGUAAUACGGAGGGUGCAAGCGUUAAUCGGAAUUACUGGGCGUAAAGCGCACGCAGGCGGUCUGUCAAGUCGGAUGUGAAAUCCCCGGGCUCAACCUGGGAACUGCAUUCGAAACUGGCAGGCUAGAGUCUUGUAGAGGGGGGUAGAAUUCCAGGUGUAGCGGUGAAAUGCGUAGAGAUCUGGAGGAAUACCGGUGGCGAAGGCGGCCCCCUGGACAAAGACUGACGCUCAGGUGCGAAAGCGUGGGGAGCAAACAGGAUUAGAUACCCUGGUAGUCCACGCCGUAAACGAUGUCGACUUGGAGGUUGUGCCCUUGAGGCGUGGCUUCCGGAGCUAACGCGUUAAGUCGACCGGCUGGGGAGUACGGCCCCGCAGGGAUAAAUCUAAUGAGUAGACGGGGGCGCCCGCACCCGGGGGGGCGUAUGGUGUAUUACUAUACGCCACGCGAAGCCCCUUACAUACUUUUCACAUCCAGAGCACUCUCCAGAGAUGGAUUGGUGCCUUCGGGAACUCUGAGACAGGUGCUGCAUGGCUGUCGUCAGCUCGUGUUGUGAAAUGUUGGGUUAAGUCCCGCAACGAGCGCAACCCUUAUCCUUUGUUGCCAGCGGUCCGGCCGGGAACUCAAAGGAGACUGCCAGUGAUAAACUGGAGGAAGGUGGGGAUGACGUCAAGUCAUCAUGGCCCUUACGAGUAGGGCUACACACGUGCUACAAUGGCGCAUACAAAGAGAAGCGACCUCGCGAGAGCAAGCGGACCUCAUAAAGUGCGUCGUAGUCCGGAUUGGAGUCUGCAACUCGACUCCAUGAAGUCGGAAUCGCUAGUAAUCGUAGAUCAGAAUGCUACGGUGAAUACGUUCCCGGGCCUUGUACACACCGCCCGUCACACCAUGGGAGUGGGUUACAAAAGAAGUAGGUAGCUUAACCUUCGGGAGGGCGCUUACCACUUUGUGAUUCAUGACUGGGGUGAAGUCGUAACAAGGUAACC